CUCGGUAGGAACCUCGUUACCGCCUAAACAGUUACCAUCGAGGCCGGAAGUUCCCAUCUGCACCUAUAACCAGUGAAAGAAUCUUAUAAACUUUAAUGCCCUAUAAGUAUGCCUAUGUGUUAUAGUUACUUUUAUAGAUUUACUAUAGAGGUGGAUUCAAUUCCCAAAUUAGGAAAAUGUUUAACUUGUUAAAUAUGAACUGUCAUUUUGUAACAGGAUGAAACCCCGUUCAGCAGGAAUGGAAACCUUGUGUCUGUACAUUUCUGGGAUGAAGUAGCAUUUGGAAAAUGGAUUGUCAAAAUAAAAAGCAAAUAUUCCAAAGCAAAAACCAAAGUGCAUAACGUUUCAUUAACACUUUACGGGACAAGACACGCGAGCUACGUACUAUUGGCUGCUAAAUAUAUGACACAGUGCGGUAAUGAGGAUAUCUAUGGAAACUCGAACGGUCACCAGAAGCAGGCAGCAACUAACGAAGCAAAUGGUGCUAAACCUAAUGUAAAAGAUCAUUCAAAACUGACGGAUAAAGCCGUAUCUGAAAUCAUAUUGAUUUCUGUGUUUGUAGUUGUUUUAAUGAAUGUCAUAUUUUAUAAAUUGUACAAAUAUAAUACUAAUACUAAUUUACAUGUUGACAAAUAUGAUAACUUUGACAGAAAAGCGCAGUCCAAUAUAAUGUUAAUGUCUACCUUUAAGGGACCAACUUUAAACUUGACCGAAGAACAAAAUGACAAUUAUAAUUAAACAAUUUUAUGCCGUG